rnacentral:rRNA from 1 species
GACGAACGCUGGCGGCGUGCUUAACACAUGCAAGUCGAACGGAAAGGCCCUGCUUUUGUGGGGUGCUCGAGUGGCGAACGGGUGAGUAACACGUGAGUAACCUGCCCUUGACUUUGGGAUAACUUCAGGAAACUGGGGCUCAUACCGGAUAGGAGCUCCUGCUGCAUGGUGGGGGUUGGAAAGUUUCGGCGGUUGGGGUUGGACUCGCGGCUUAUCAGCUUGUUGGUGGGGUAGUGGCUUACCAAGGCUUUGACGGGUAGCCGGCCUGAGAGGGUGACCGGCCACAUUGGGACUGAGAGACGGCCCAGACUCCUACGGGAGGCAGCAGUGGGGAAUAUUGCACAAUGGGCGGAAGCCUGAUGCAGCAACGCCGCGUGCGGGAUGACGGCCUUCGGGUUGUAAACCGCUUUCGCCUGUGACGAAGCGUGAGUGACGGUAAUGGGUAAAGAAGCACCGGCUAACUACGUG